UACGGAGGGUGCGAGCGUUGUCCGGAAUCACUGGGCGUAAAGGGCGCGUAGGCGGCGCAGACAGUCAACGGUGAAAGCUUGGGGCUCAACCCCGAGUCGGCCGUCGAUACUUCUGGGCUUGAGCACUGUAGAGGCAGGUGGAAUUCCGGGUGUAGCGGUGGAAUGCGCAGAUAUCAGGAGGAACACCGGUGGCGAAGGCGGGUCUCUGGGCCGAUACUGACGCUGAGGAGCGAAAGCGUGGGGAGCGAACAGG
rnacentral:rRNA from 1 species